CCUCUCUCUAUCUAGAGUUGGUGAGACUAUCCAGAGGAUCCUCAAUGAUAGACCGCUAAACUGUUUGGAUCUGAAGCCUGUGAAAGUUCCUAUAUACAUCAUUUACAAGUUAUAGGGGGAUGUGGCGAGUGUUUAUGGAGAUGAGAUGGUACGACUUGAGCAUUUGGCUUUCGUAAUCGUCUCAGCGAAAUUGGAAAACAAUUGUCCGAAUGAGUGGACUUACGUGGCCAGUGAUGACAACAACAAAAUGGAUGCCGAACUCUUAGAAAUUUUGAGAAAAGCCAACGGCAAGUGUCCUGUGAAUAGCUGGAAGGAUGACCGCUUGAAGUGUCUACCAGAAGAAUGUUUUGA